UGGGGAAUCUUGGACAAUGGGGGCAACCCUGAUCCAGCGACGCCGCGUGGGUGGUAAGGCCUUCGGGUUGUAAAGCCCUUUCACCGGGGAAGAUGAUGACAUUACCCGGAGAAGAAGCGCCGGCUAACUCCGUGCCAGCAGCCGCGGUAAGACGGAGGGCGCUAGCGUUGUUCGGAAUGACUGGGCGUAAAGGGCGCGUAGGCGGCUGUUUAAGUCGAGGGUGAAAGCCCGGGGCUCAACCCCGGAACGGCCUUCGCGACUGGGCUGCACGCGACCGGAAGAGGAGGGUGGAAUACCCAGUGUAGAGGUGAAAUUCGUAGAUAUUGGGUGGAACACGAGUGGCGAAAGCGGCUCUCUGGUCCGGAUCUGACGCUGUGGCGCGAAAGCGUGGGGAGCAAACAGGAUUAGAUACCCGUGUAGUCC
rnacentral:rRNA from 1 species